UCGCUCAGUGGGUUAAGGAUCUGGCGUUGCUGUGAGCUGUGGUGUAGGUCUCAGAUGCAGCUUGGAUCUGGCAUUGCUGUGCCUGUGGCAUAGGCUGGUGGCUAGAGCUCCAAUUUGACCCUUAGCCUGGGAACCUACAUAUGCCAUGGGUGCAGCUCUAAAGAGACAAAAAAGACACUCCCCCCAAAAAAAGGGCAAAAGAUCUAAAUAGACAUCCCCAAAGAAGACACACAGAUGGGCAAGAGACACAUGAAAAGAUGCUCAACAUAGUUAAUUAUUAGAGAAAUGCAAAUCAAAAUCACAGUGAGGUAUCAACUUACAUCAGUGAUAAUGGCUAUCAUCAAAAAGUCUACAAAUAAUAAACGCUGGAGAGGGUGUGGAGAAAAGAGAACCCCCCCUACAUUGUUGGUGGGAAUGUAAAUUGGUGCAGCCACUGUGGAAAACAGUAUGGAGCUUCUUUAAAAAACUAAAAACAGAACUACAAUAUGAUCCAGCAAUCCUACUCCUGGUUAUAUAUUUGAAAAGACGAAAGUUCUAAUUUGAAAAUAUACAUGAACCUCAAUGUUCACAGCAGCAGUAUUUAUCAUAACCAAGACAUGGAAACAAUCUCAGUGCCCAUCAACAGACAAUUUCCAUAAGAAGAGUGGGACACACACACAGAAUGGAAUAUUACUGAGCCAUAAAAAGGAAAUAUUGCUAUUUGCAGUAACAUAGAUGGAUCUUGAGAAUACUAUAUUUAAUGAAGUAGGUCAAAGACAAAUAUUACAUGGCAUCACUUAUAUGUAGAAUCUAAAAAAUACUACAAAUGAAUCUAUAUACAAAACAGAAACAAACUCACAGACAUAGAAAAGCACUAAAUACAUUAACUUGAGAUGUCUGGUUUUCUUUAGUUAACAUAAUGUGGAGUUCCCUUGUGACUUAGCAGGUUGAUCUGGCACUGUCACUGCGACAGCACAUGUCACUGCUGUGGCAUGGCUUUGAUCCCUGUCCCGGGAACUUCCACAUGCCACAGGCGAGGCUCAAAAAAAAAAAAUCCCCGGAGUUCCUGUCGUGGCGCAGUGGUUAACAAAUCCGACUAGGAACCAUGAGGUUGCGGGUUUGAUCCCUGGCCUUGCUCAGUGGGUUAACGAUCCGGCGUUGCCGUGAGCUGUGGUGUCGGUUGCAGACGCGGCUUGGAUCUGGCGUUGCUGUGGCUCUGGCGCAGGCCAGUGGCUACAGCUCCAAUUAGACCCCUAGCCUGGGAACUCCAUAUGCCGCGGGAGCAGCCCAAUAAAUGGCAAAAAAGGCCAAAAAAAAAAAAAAAAUCCCCAAAACCCCAGUAAUCUUCCCCACACCACCCCCACACCCACAGCAUGCAGAAGUUUCUGGGCUGGGGAUCGAAUCCAUGCCACAGCAGUGACCAGUGCACAGCAGUAACCAGAGCCACAGCAAUGGCAAUGUCAGAUCCUUAACCUGCUGAGCCGCCAUGGAACUCCUUAACAGUAAUUUUUUUUUAAUGAUUUUUAUUUUUUCCAUUACACUUGGUUUACAGCUUAACAGUAAUCUCUUGAAAUUCUGACUACUUGGUAUUUUGUUUGUUUGUUUUUUGUUUUUGCUUUUUAGGGCCGCACACGUGGCAUAUGGAAGUUGCCAGACUAGGGGAGUCGAAUGGGAAUUACAGCUGCCAGACUACACCACAGCCACAGCAACGCCAGAUCUGAGCCGUGACUGGGACCUACACCACAGCUCACGGCAACCCCAGAUCCUUAACCCACUGCCCAGGGCCAGGGAUCAAACCCAUAUCCUCACGUAUCCUAAUCACACUCAUUACCGCUGAGCCACAAUGGGAACUCCCCUGAUGACCUGGUUUUUGUGGCAAAAACUCCCAAGUAUCUUGGAUCCUACCUUGCCUCUUCUGAGCAGUCCCUCAAAGCUGAGAGAGUGCCUCCUAGGCCUGAAGUCCACAGAAAGUCCACCAAAUGAAACAUUAAUUCUCAAUUUUUACUUUGUGCAUUUUUUUCAGUCAGCACUAUAAUGAAAAUAAUCUGGAAAAAAAAAUAAAACAAUCACUUCCAUACACCUGAAACUAACACAAUAUUACAACUCAACUAUACUUCAAUAAAAAAAAAAAGUCAAAGGUAAAUCAAUUUCCAGAAAGGCUUUGGAUUUGAUCCAAUUUGUUUAAUUUAUUUGGUUGUUGCACUGCCAAAAUUACCAAUGAACUCAAUAACCUCUAAAUGUCAGAAGAGAAAGAGACAGUUUAUCUUGAGUGUUUAGAAUCUUGUUUUUUUUUUCCCCCACAGAAAUAGCACCAUACACUUUUGCCAAAGAACCAAUUUUUCAAUUAACUCGAUUGCUUAAAAACAUGUGGGCAACAGAAUGUGUAUUCAUCAAUAUCUACCAUGUGCCACAUGUUAAGCCUGGCUCAGUAAAUACAAAGAAUAUGAAAAACUGGAUUCUGUACUCUUUCAAUUUAGUCAGGGAGCAAAGAUAAGAGCAAAUUUUACUUUAACGUAAAGCUCAUACAGUAUGUCUUCUAAUUUUCCCAUUUUUAUUUCUUCUCUUAUAAAAAUGUACUCAAAUUCAUUUAAGAAGCAUUGAUUUCAGGAGUUCUUGUGGCUCAGCAGAAACAAAUCCGACUAGUAGCCAUGAGGAUACGGGUUCUAUCCCUGGCCUCGCUCAGUGGGUUGGUGAUCUGGUGUUGCCUUGAGCUGCAGUGUAGGUCACAGACAAGGCUGGAAUCCUGCAUUGCUGUGGCUGUGGUAUAGACUGGCAGUUACAGCUCCAAUUCCAUCCUCAGCCCAGGAACUUCCAUAUGCCUUGGGUGUGGCCCUAAAAAAAAAGUAUUGAUUUCAUUCUAUGUGCCAAUCGCUUUGAUGCAAAACAGGCUCCUACUAUCAUGGAUCUUUCAUUUUAGUAACUGGAAAAAGAGAAAGAGGGAGAAAUAAUUACUUUAGAUCAUGAUUGAUAAGUGCUAUGAAAACAUGGUGAGUGACUGGGGAACUAUUUUAAUUGGGUAACUGAGGAAGGCCCUUUAGAUGUGGUGACACCAGCUGCAACCACAGAGAAGAAGUCAUGUGACCAUCUGGAGGAACAGUGUUCUAGAAGAAGGAACAGCAAUUACAAAGGCCCUGAGCCCAGAACCAGCUUAUCAUGUUCCAAGAGCAAAAUGAAUGUUAAUUACUGUUAAUGACCUUAGGGAUAUAUUUGGGAGUAUAAAGGUUUAUGAGCCAAAGACUCUGUCCCAAAGAAGCUCUAAGCAAAAAGAUCACAAUAUAGUGGCAGAACAUUUGUAGUGACAGAAGUUCUCACAAAAGAAAGAGGUACUAAAAAGGAGGUAUAAUUAAUUUUCUGAGGUGUAUUUCAGAGAAGGGUUCACAUGGGAGGAAAUAUAAAAGCAAGAUUUGGAAAUAUCAAUAGCAUUGACAACACAGGCAGAAGGGUUGUGCUAGGAAAAACAACAUACAGGGAACUGAGUACAAAGGGCUGCAGGCUGUUUCUUACAGUGAACACCAAAACAGAAGAAAAGAGUUCCCUGGUAGCUCAGUGGGUUAUGACCUGGCAUGACA
rnacentral:lncRNA from 1 species